AUACCUUUCUCGGCCUUUUGGCUAAGAUCAAGUGUAGUAUCUGUUCUUAUCAGUUUAAUAUCUGCUAUGUGGGCCAUGUGCCUAUAAUAAUAUUAAAUUUAUUUUUUAUGGGGGAAGGUCCAUCACAAUGGCUUACCAUUGGGGCUCUCGGGUGUCGCAUGGGCGUUGCACUACAGCCCAAGCAGGCGCACCCCAA
rnacentral:snRNA from 1 species